GUAGGUGGCAAGCGUUGUCCGGAAUUAUUGGGCGUAAGGCGCGCGCAGGCGGUUCUUUAAGUCUGAUGUGAAAGCCCACGGCUCAACCGUGGAGGGUCAUUGGAAACUGGAGAACUUGAGUACAGAAGAGGAAAGCGGAAUUCCACGUGUAGCGGUGAAAUGCGUAGAGAUGUGGAGGAACACCAGUGGCGAAGGCGGCUUUCUGGUCUGUAACUGACGCUGAGGCGCGAAAGCGUGGGGGGAGCAAACAGGAUUAGAUACCCUUGUAGUCCACGCCGUAAACGAUGAGUGCUAAGUGUUAGGGGGUUUCCGCCCCUUAGUGCUGCAGCUAACGCAUUAAGCACUCCGCCUGGGAGUACGGCCGCAAGGCUG
rnacentral:rRNA from 1 species